rnacentral:rRNA from 1 species
GGUGGUAUGCAUAACACAUGCAAGUCGAACGAAGAGGGUUUACUCUCUUAGUGGCCAACGGGCGAGUAACACAUAUUUAACUUACCUGCACGAGGAGAAUAGCAACUCGAAAGAGUUAUUAAUACUCCAUAGGUUUGAGACCCAAAUUAAAGGGAGCGUUCUGGGAAACUAGAGCUUCGCGAGCAGAGAGGAGUAUGUCCUAUUAGGUUGUUGGUGGGGUAAUUGCCUACCAAGCCGAUGAUGGGUAGCUGGACUGAGAGGUCGACCAGCCGCAAUGGGAUUGAAAUACGGCCCAUAUUCCUACGGGAAGCAGCAGUGAGGAAUUUUUCACAAUGGACGAAAGUCUGAUGGAGCAAUGCCAUGUGAACGAUGAAGGUCUUCUGAUUGUAAAGUUCUUUUAUUUAGGAAAAAAAGCUUGAGAGGAAAUGAUUAAGCCUUGAUUGUACUAAAUGAAUAAGUGACAGCUAACUAUGUGCCAGCAGCUGCGGUAAAACAUAGGUCACGAGCAUUAUCCGGAUUUAUUGGGCGUAAAGGAAGCGUAGGCGGACAAAUUGAUCUAUUGUUAAAGGCACUUGCUCAACGAGUUGUUUGUGAUAGAUAUCGU